UGGCAGCACGUUUGUAUUGUAGGG
rnacentral:piRNA from 1 species